rnacentral:ncRNA from 1 species
CUAACCUUUUCCCGUCGCUGCCAAUUCAGUGACCGGGACUGCAAGCCCGCCGA